rnacentral:rRNA from 1 species
UACUCGAGUGGCGAACGGGUGAGUAACACGUGGGCGAUCUGCCCUGCACUUCGGGAUAAGCCUGGGAAACUGGGUCUAAUACCGGAUAGGACCACAUUUUGGAUGGUGUGGUGGAAAGUUUUUCGGUGUGGGAUGAGCUCGCGGCCUAUCAGCUUGUUGGUGGGGUAAUGGCCUACCAAGGCGUCGACGGGUAGCCGGCCUGAGAGGGUGUACGGCCACAUUGGGACUGAGAUACGGCCCAG